rnacentral:lncRNA from 10 species
GGAAAGAGUUGUAGAACUGCAGCUUUUGGCUGUUCUCCAGGACUGGUGGGCAACUGUGGCAAGGUCAGCUUCCCCCAAUAUUUUUCUACUUUGGAUAGGAGGACUACCUCUCAGCAUUUCCUGUAAUGGCAUUGCACACCUGUAUACCCAGUCUUUGGCAAUACACAUUACAGAUACUGGCCAAAAAAGAAUUAGAAAAUCAGUGUCAAAGUUGGAUUGUGGUCCCUGAAGACUUAGAUUAAUGGAAUUCUGCUGGAAACAUAAAGGUUGUUUCCCUGCUGUUCACAUCUGUUGCAUCCUGGGAAAAAAACAAAAAGGAAGAUGUUAUGUGAAGAGCUGAUGUUUGCAUCGCCGACUCUCCCUGAUUUGUGCUGAUGAUAGCUGAAGCUGCAGUCUUGGCAUCUUCUACUGCACAUUGUCAUCAGCAAGGUAAGAAGUGCCUUUUGCCUCCUGCCAUGAUUCUGAGGCCUCCCUCCCCAGCCAUGUGGAACCGCUGGAGUGCAGUGGAAGAUCUCAGCUCACUGCAACCUCCUCCUCUCAGGUUCAAGCAAUUCUUGUGCCUCAGCCACCCAAAAUAGCUGAAAUUACAGCUUUGGUAUCAGAAUGAUGCUGGCCUCAUAAAAUGAGUUAGGGAGGAUUCCCUCUUUUUCUAUUGAUUGGAAUGAACUCAGCUCUGCACCAAGCGGACCUAAUAGACAUCUACAGAACUCUCCACCCCAAAUCAACAGAAUAUACAUUUUUUUCAG